rnacentral:rRNA from 1 species
AGCGAACGCUGGCGGCAGGCCUAACACAUGCAAGUCGAACGAAGUCUUCGGACUUAGUGGCGGACGGGUGAGUAACACGUGGGAACGUGCCUUUAGGUUCGGAAUAACUCAGGGAAACUUGUGCUAAUACCGUAUGUGCCCCUCGGGGGAAAGAUUUAUCGCCUUUAGAGCGGCCCGCGUCUGAUUAGCUAGUUGGUGAGGUAAAGGCUCACCAAGGCGACGAUCAGUAGCUGGUCUGAGAGGAUGAUCAGCCACAUUGGGACUGAGACAUGGCCCAAACUCCUACGGGAGGCAGCAGUGGGGAAUCUUGCGCAAUGGGCGAAAGCCUGACGCAGCCAUGCCGCGUGAAUGAUGAAGGUCUUAGGAUUGUAAAAUUCUUUCACCGGGGACGAUAAUGACGGCACCCGGAGAAGAAGCCCCGGCUAACUUCGUGCCAGCAGCCGCCGUAA